UAGGGAAUCUUCCGCAAUGGGCGAAAGCUUGACGGAGCAACGCCGCGUGAGUGAUGAAGGUCUUCGGAUCGUAAAACUCUGUUAUUAGGGAAGAACAAAUGUGUAAGUAACUAUGCACGUCUUGACGGUACCUAAUCAGAAAGCCACGGCUAACUACGUGCCAGCAGCCGCGGUAAUACGUAGGUGGAAAGCGUUAUCCGGAAUUAUUGGGCGUAAAGCGCGCGUAGGCGGUUUUUUAAGUCUGAUGUGAAAGCCCACGGCUCAACCGUGGGGGGUCAUUGGAAACUGGAAAACUUGAGUGCAGAAGAGGAAAGUGGAAUUCCAUGUGUAGCGGGGAAAUGCGCAGAGAUAUGGAGGAACACCAGGGGCGAAGGCGACUUUCUGGUCUGUAACUGACGCUGAUGUGCGAAAGCGUGGGGAUCAAACAGG
rnacentral:rRNA from 1 species